rnacentral:rRNA from 1 species
AGAGUUUGAUCAUGGCUCAGGAUGAACGCUGGCGGCGUGCCUAACACAUGCAAGUCGAACGAAGCACCUUACUUGAUUCUUCGGAUGAAGGUCUGGUGACUGAGUGGCGGACGGGUGAGUAACGCGUGGGUAACCUGCCCUGUACAGGGGGAUAACAGUUGGAAACGGCUGCUAAUACCGCAUAAGCGCACGAGAGGACAUCCUCUUGUGUGAAAAACUCCGGUGGUACAGGAUGGGCCCGCGUCUGAUUAGCUGGUUGGCAGGGUAACGGCCUACCAAGGCGACGAUCAGUAGCCGGUCUGAGAGGAUGAACGGCCACAUUGGAACUGAGACACGGUCCAAACUCCUACGGGAGGCAGCAGUGGGGAAUAUUGCACAAUGGGGGAAACCCUGAUGCAGCAACGCCGCGUGAGUGAAGAAGUAUUUCGGUAUGUAAAGCUCUAUCAGCAGGGAAGAUAAUGACGGUACCUGACUAAGAAGCUCCGGCUAAAUACGUGCCAGCAGCCGCGGUAAUAC